rnacentral:rRNA from 1 species
AAGGAAUAUUGGACAAUGGUCGGAAGACUGAUCCAGCCAUCCCGCGUGAAGGAUGACUGCCCUAUGGGUUGUAAACUUCUUUUAUAUGGGAAGAAACCCCUGGAUUUAUCUGGGGCUGACGGUACCAUAUGAAUAAGCACCGGCUAACUCCGUGCCAGCAGCCGCGGUAAUACGGAGGGUGCAAGCGUUAUCCGGAAUCACUGGGUUUAAAGGGUGCGUAGGUGGCUUGGUAAGUCAGAGGUGAAAGCCCGUCGCUCAACGACGGAAUCGCCUUUGAUACUGCCGAGCUUGAAUUAGGUUGAGGUAGGCGGAAUGUGGCAUGUAGCGGUGAAAUGCAUAGAUAUGCCAUAGAACACCAAUUGCGAAGGCAGCUUACUGGACCUGGAUUGACGCUGAGGCACGAAAGCGUGGGGAUCAAAC